UAAGAAAAAGGAAAAAAAGAAAUAACAAACCUACCUUCUCUCGGAGGAGAGAGAAGGUCCUAGAACCUAUUAUAUACAUAUUUUUUGUAUUUUAAUGAUGUGGCAAUGUCGAGCAUGAUUUUUAUAUUGAUAAGAGUGCGUGCAAUGGCUCGGAUUUAGACUUGGUUGAUGGCCUUUUUCGAUGUGGGCCUGUCAGAAAGUCUAUUUUUAUCAACCGCAAUGGCCGUGUUUUUGACAUUGAAUUCUCGAUCUCGCAUCGACGGAGACAUGGUGCAGGUGAAGCCACAUCAAGGAGGAUGAGGAGUGGAUUUUCAUUCUUUUCUCUUGCUCUUCCCUUUUCUUCUUAUCCAAUUUAUAUAGUGUCCCUUUCUUCCUUAUUUUCUUCCUCUCCUCAUCUUCCCGUAGAUGUAGAAGUCACCCUUGUUCGCAUUGUCUAGGAAAUAGCCUAGACUGACGGUCGGUCGUGUUUCAUCAUCAGAUCCCCACCAUCGAAGAGUUACUGCAGAAGAGGGCUGAAUACAGUGAACACGGACCGCUUCUUGCAGUGUGUUCAAUAAUGUCCCACGAAGAAGAUGAUUCUACAGUUGAUGGCGAUAGAGUCAAAGGCCUCGGAGAGCUGUAUGAGAAAUGGAACAAAGUUUAGUCCGAACCUCACAACUAUCCCAGCAUGCCAAAGGCGCUCUAAUCAUGGCAACACAACAACAAACAACAUUCCCAGCCCAUUAUACUAUGAGUUUUGGUCGACCUUUUUCCCAGGUGCAGUACAUGCCACAACAGAGUGAACCUUUGUUCUACUUAAACAUGUGGAAUUUCUCGGGUCCGGGAGGCACAUCGUUGCUUCCUCACCCCGAGACCUAGUUCUCGCAGCCGAGGACUGCUCCUUUCACUACAAGCCGACGACUUUUCUUAACAGAAACACCUAGUCAUUGCAACCGUGCAAGUAGAGCAACGGGGAGUAAUCAACGCAUAAACAAGAGUUGGACCACGGAGAAGGACGUGGAACUGACUAGGGCAUAGUGUAAUAUUACAACGGAUACCCGGGUAGGUGUAGGCUAGAAGAGACAGAAACUAUAGGAGCGUGUUUGUGAGAGUUUUUCCUUGUUGAUGGAAGAGAAUCACGGCAUGCCAAAACUGAAAAUAAAAUAUCCCCGGGUGCUUGUGAGAAUCGAAUGACGGAGAUCAAAUCACAAUGCUCAAAAUGGUGUGCAGUACGAGUGCAAGCAGAAGGGCAGUAUCGGUGUGGUUGGAGUUCCGCCGAUUUUGAAAAAUAUUACGAGGAGAAUUAUUACGACAAGCAUGGGAUGACUUUCAAAUGUUUGGCUUGUUGGCGCAUUUUGAAGGAUGAGCCGAAGUGGAUGGAGUUUGUAUCCGAGAGGAAGACGUGGCCGAGUGACCCACGAACUAUAGACAAGGACGAAAGAGGUUGUGAGCGAUGCUUCAUGCGAAGGGAAUCUUAUGAGCAGUCACCCGUAACACCAGUUGACAUUGCUGAUAAUGGUGUACACGUUGACGUUGAGGGCUCGGAUAAGAGGCCUAGACAUACUCUGUUGAUUGGUCCAGCUGCGCGUGUCAUUGAACGAUCACUGGGGGCUAAAAAAUGAAGGCUAACGACAAAGUUAAUAACCAACAUCAACGAAAAAUCAAACAUCAUGGAGAGUUGUUGGCGUCAGCAACGCAUAGUAUCACUACUAGUCUCAUGGCACUCGAUUCGUCGCAAGCGGAAAUGUGAUCUAAGAUAGAGAAAAAUGAAACAAGGCGCGAAAAGAUGAUAGAAGAACAAUCGAGUAAACAGGUAAUUAGGCACUUCCGUUUCAUGAAAUACACAAUAAUUCAUCUAAAAUACAUUGCAGGAACUCAAUAACAUUUGAUUCAUUAACGUACGGACUAAUGAAGUUCAACAUUUGACAAGAUAGCCCGAGAAAUUGUGCAAGUAACUAAGGAUUUUGCAAAAAUUGGUGGGAAAUGAUUGUUGCCUUAUUUAAGUUUGAGGAAUUGGAUCCGGCGAAGCUGGCAACCGAAUCGUCAAGGAAAGAGUACAUGAUCAGGCGAGAACAACUUGAGUACUACACGGAUGAACACAAUGGUGUUAAGGCGGCCAUCGCGACCAUCAAGAGACAAGAAGGCCAACAAAAGACGUAGGUGAGUCGAGUGUCUCCCCGAGUGGAGAUAAAAAGUGUGGCAGACGUGAAACCCUUGAUAAAAGUAGCUUCUAGUCAACGUGCCAUUGAUUGGGUCGACUGGUCUUGUAAUAAGUUUUGACAUGGAACUGUCUCUUGGGCCAACGGGCAUGGUGACGUAUUAUUGUGUUUUUUUCCUAGUGUAUUUUUCUGAUAUUUGUGUUGGGUUUCUUGUCUUCGUUGGUAAUUAGUUGGGUCUUAUAUGUUAAACGUGAUGCUCCUCUUGUUGUUUCCUUGAGCGUUUGUUUAAUCGUUCACUAUGGCAUGCGCAAAGGACCCUAGCGUAUUUGAUUGUAUCAUAGUUCCGUGAGAAGUUUGGCAUGUUGCGAUUGAAUAUCCAGGCAGUUGAAUGUAGUUUUCAUGUUGUU